rnacentral:rRNA from 1 species
GGUUGACCUCGAAUCAGGUAGGACUACCCGCUGAACUUAAGCAUA